GUACCGUCCAAACGUUAUUCGGAAUUACUGGGCUUAAAGGGUAUGUAGGCGGCGCUGUUAGUCGGGUGUGAAAUCCCUCGGCUCAACCGAGGAAUUGCGCCCGAUACUGCAGUGCUUGAGGGAGACAGAGGUAAGCGGAACUGAUGGUGGAGCGGUGAAAUGCGUUGAUAUCAUCAGGAACACCGGUGGCGAAAGCGGCUUACUGGGUCUCUUCUGACGCUGAGAUACGAAAGCCAGGGGAGCGAAGGGGAUUAGAUACCCCCGUAGUCCUGGCCGUAAACGUUGAGCACUUGAUCGAGGGCCCCCCCAUAGGCUCUCGGUCGUAGCGAAAGUGUUAAGUGCUCCGCCUGGGGAGUAUGGUCGCAAGGCUG
rnacentral:rRNA from 1 species